GCAGGGGGAGCAACAUGAAGUCAGAGACCCAGGUCCUCAUAUCCCUGCUGCUUUGGGUGUCUGGUACCUGUGCAGACAUCGUGAUGACUCAGUCUCCAUCCUCACUGGCUGUGUCAGCAGGAGAGAAGGUCUCCAUCAGCUGCAGGUCCAGUCAGAGUCUUUUAGGCUCUAAAAGCCAAAAGAACUUAUUGUCCUGGUACCAGCAGAAACCAGGGCAAUCCCCUAAGCUGCUGAUCUAUUGGGCAUCCACUCGGCACACUGGGGUCCCUGAUCGCUUCACAGGCAGUGGAUCUGGGACAGAUUACACUCUCAGCAUCAGCAGUGUGCAGGCUGAAGACCUGGCAGUUUAUUACUGUAUGCAGGAUAAAAGUAUUCCUCCCACAGUGCUUCAGCCUCCAACACAAACCUCAUUGAGAGUCUCACCAGUUGCCUGCAGCACACACAGCCCUGGCCCUGCACACUUCCCCCUUCUGUGUGAUAGCAGUCAGGAGGCAUUCAGGGAAAAGUAUACAGGAGACAUCUGGGAUUUCUGCAAGGGAACUUAGUUUUUCUUUUUCCCAAGAUCUACACUAGAGGGCACCUGCUAAGCGGGAUAUCAGGCAUCAGUGAGGCCACUCCAGAAUUGGCAGUGACUUUGGACCACCUGCUGACCACCUGCAACACAGCAGUUCUGAGCAUGUACUAGGUCACCUUGUAAAAGGACUUGCUCCUCCUUCUCUCUCUCUCCCUGUCUUUCUCUCUCUCUCUCUUUCCUGCCUUGCCCAGAGACAGUCGUUGUGACCCUGUACCUCUUCCCUUAAUAAAA